CCUACGGGCGGCAGCAGUGAGGAAUAUUGGUCAAUGGACGAGAGUCUGAACCAGCCAAGUAGCGUGAAGGAUGACUGCGCUAUGGGUUGUAAACUUCUUUUGUAAAGGAAUAAAAUGAGGCACGUGUGCCUUUUUGCAUGUACUUUAUGAAUAAGGAUCGGCUAACUCCGUGCCAGCAGCCGCGGUAAUACGGAGGAUCCGAGCGUUAUCCGGAUUUAUUGGGUUUAAAGGGAGCGUAGAUGGGGUGUUAAGUCAGUUGUGAAAGUUUGCGGCUCAACCGUAGAAUUGCAUUUGAUACUGGCAGUGUUGAGAACAGGUGAGGUAGGCGGAAUUCGCGGUGUAGCGGUGAAAUGCUUAGAUAUCACGAAGAACCCCGAUUGCGAAGGCAGCUUACUAA
rnacentral:rRNA from 1 species